AGAGCGCGCAGAGCAAGGCCGCCGCCAGCUCUCCCAGGAACCGUCGCGAGGCGUCCCCUCGGCGGCCGCCUCAGUUUCCCUGGCCGUAAAACGCGGGCGAUGGCGCUCGAUGCCCCGGGAGACGCCGGGGUCCGCGGGCCCUUCCGGCACCGGGUCCUCCUUCAGGUUCGGGCACCCGGCUGCCUCCACGCGGGGCGAGCGCGGCGAUGGGAUCGGUCCGUGCUGCGCUCAGCCCCGCUUUCGCUAUCCCUCUGCUCCAGGGGCAGCAAAAUCAGCAGAUGAGCCCCCAGCGCGCCUGCGGCCCACACACUGCGGCCGUAACAGUUAAACAGACGGGGAACAUUCAUGUGCGUAGAGCUCUUCACGGGGCGAUACAGAAAUGUGUCGUUCUAAAGCGUUAACGACCUGCAAUUUGCAUAUCCUCCAACACAUGGAUUUUACUGAUUCAAUUAUGGAUGUGUGCAAAGAAUCUGCUGCUCGGUGAGUCAUUGUUAAUUGUCGGCUUUGGGGGGAAUACAUAAAACGUGGAAUAUUGGCAAUUUAUCGUGUUUCGACCUUUUAUAAAGGCGUCACCAGGCUGCUGAGGCUAAUACAGAAACGCAGACCAUAAAAAAGAUCUGCGUCCACGCUGCAGGCGGGCCUCACGCUGAGCUCCCCGUGUCGACCCGGGGACAAAGCCUGCUCAGGAAGAGCAGAGGGUUCCACGCCCUGCAGGACCAGCGCCCUGGGCCCCUCUCCUGGAAAGUUAUGACUCGCACGUUCCCAGGAUUUAGCGCACAUCUCCCCCACCCUCACUGCCAUUUCACAGAACCGGGGCAGCCGCAGGGCUCCUGCAGGACCUCCCGGACGCCGCGGGGCCGUGUUCCCUUGAGCGGCUUCUUGGGUCCCUGGUUGGAGAGGGGACCACCGAGCAGCUUCGCUCUGCUCCUGGGAGGCUACUUCUGCCACUGGACGACUUUCCAAAAGGGUGAGCGCAGUUCUGCAAUCCUGUUCUCACCCCUGAGGGCCUCACACCAGUUUGCAGGAGCCAGCAGUGUGAUUGCCACCGACAAGUUCCCAACAAUUUGCAGGGCGUGGUGUCCUCAGUGCUGAGAGAGCCCCGCGACGGCGGUGCAGCUCCUCCAGGGCGCGCAGCCCCGCCACCUGGCGCCACCGCGAGGGAGCGCAGGCCCAGGGCCCGGGCAGACGCUGGAGGGGACGCGGCAGGUGAAGAUGGGGCACCUCCACUUCCCUUCUAAAGGAGCCUGGGAAUAGGCUAGGAAAUGUCCCCACUGUAGAAGACAGCAGGAACAUCUGACACGCGGAUAACCUGUGCUGAGCUCGUUAUAUUCCCAGCAUUUAAUUCUAGCCAUUAGGCAUGCGUUAGCCACAACUUCGCAUAGGAAGGUUAUUGCAGCUAUAUGGGAACACUUUCAGUUUCCCAAGUUAAAACAUGAAAUUGCACAUCAUCAUUUGGAUCCCCAAAGAGGAAAAGAAAAAUUCACAACCUGCCAGUGAAAUACUCAGGCCACUUGGAUGAAGACCGAGGUCCUCCAUAGAAUCCAGGUGUUAUUUACUAACUAAUCAGAAAUUAAUAUCAAAAUAGGACUUAAAAAUAACAAGGCUGUGUUAUUACAGCAGUCUUUCCAGUUGUGUACGCUUUACUAAUCUAAAUUGGGUAACAGAACUGGAGAAAAGGAAGACUACACAGACUUAUCAUAAGCUGUUAGUGAACGUGAUAGAAAUGCGUAAUUUGUUAAAGCGAAUUACAGCUCUGAUUUGUCAAAUGAGGAGGUGAAUUAUCCUAGGAUUUGCUAUGCUGUUGUGGCGUUAGAAGAUUGGAUCUUUAGCAGCAAAGGUAACCUCAACAAUAUUUUCUGCUUAAGAAAGUGCCUUGGUUAAGGUAGACCGUGAUAUCGUCUUUGACUAAGCUCUCUGGGCUAUUGAUUCUGUCAUAUUCCAAAGGCAGUAUUGGUUUGAAGCCGAAUCUCACGGUCAAUGUCAACAUGCAAUCCACAAAGACCCUGGCGCCCUUCCACGGUAUGCACUAACCAAAACUUUCUCACUGUGAAAUCCUUUUUUUAAAAACAAGAAAACAAAAAACAAAAACCAAAAAACCUUACUGUGAAUCCUUUCCCAAGGAAUGGUCCCACCUUCACCUCGGAAAGAGGCGUGGCUUGCUCUGUAAGCAGGUCCACCCUGAGGAGACCGCUGGUGCAAGAGCCCUGCUUGCAGAACACACAGGGGGUUUUCCCACAUUCUUACUGGAGUCAGAUUCGGCAAAGCAUUUCAAGCAACUGCUGGACACUUCAAAUACCACUCCCUGUUAACAACGCCCUGAGUAUCUCACUGUCUCCAGGAUCUGGUUUAAAGGGAAACACAGAAAUGGCCAACAGCUCCCUCCCCAGGCAGGACUGCGAUUUCACAGACAACCUAUAGGCAUCCCCAGUCUGGUGAAUAAACAGGAGAGUGAGAGGAAAACAGCAAUCAUUCAACUCCAGUAGAUGUAAAGCCUCCAGAAGAAUGUGUCCCGGGAAGGUCAGAAAUGUCAUUUUUUUCCUCCAGCACAUUUCAUCUGCCACAUUCCGCCGUCCGAUGUUUGAGGAAGGAGCCCCGCCUUUCCUUCAGGGGUUCUUGUCGCCAAGUUUGAUGGUGACAGUUUUCACUUCUGUGUAUUCGGCCAAAGCGUAUUCACCUCUGUGAUCACAGAAAAGAGGAAAAUUCAAAAUGGGUACAUCCCUUAGCCAUUGUGUAGAAACUGUUCUGAGGCUUCAUCAUUCCAUCAGGCCGUUGGAGGCUUAUGCAAAAGGUUAAAAUGUGACGACCUCAUGGAAUAAUAGCCAGGACUAUAACAGCACUAGUAAGUGUCAGUAGCUGCAUAUGUGACUUAAAUGUAAAUAUCAAGGUCUUCUUCUGUGUGAUGCUUUUGAAAUGGCCAGGACUAAGGGUUUCCCUUUAGAGAAUGAAGGGGAUUUUAAAAAAAGUAAAGAGGUGAAUUCCCUGGGGUGGCAAUAGAGAGCAAAACGAGAGAGCCUGGUGGACGGUGGGGUGUCUGUGAACGAGGGAGGGGCAGAAAUUACACUGGGUUGAUAACUUUUAGAUGGCAAUUGGGAGCUGCUUGAAGAGGAGACAGAAGAGGCAGAGGCCCAAAGCUAUUGGCUGGGGAUGUGGCCAGAGGACCAGUGGGAAGAACACCAAGGGCCUGAAGCUGGCCUCAGAGUGCACAGCUGGGGACCAGCUGUCAGGCAGUGAGGCCAGCCUAGGGGGCAUGAGAGAAGCAGACGUUAGCACAGAGUGGACAUGGGGAGGCCACAGCUUUUGGGUUCACAUCCUUGGUAUAGUUCCUUUCUUUAAAUCUUGCAGGGCUCAGGUGAUCCUUCCCUGGCACCAUGGGCCGUCUUCAGGGUAGCUUCCCUUCCAAGACCCAAGAGGCAGCUUUGGAGAGAUUUAAAUCCUUCUAAGCGCUUGAUCUGCUGUCAGGUGAAGAAAAAUGUGUGCUUGUUUAGGAAGAGAUGAAGGUAGAGGUGGCCACUGGAGUCUCUGUAGUUAAAAAGACCUGUGACAGAAUCCCAUCUCCUCCCUUAGAUCAAUGGUUCUCAAAGUGUGGUCCCCAGACCAGCAGCAUCAGCCUCACCUCUGAACUUGCUAGAAAUGUAGAUUCUCAGGCCUCCCCCAGCCCUACUAUCGUAGGCAGAAUAAGGAUCUCCCCAGGUAUCCAAAAUUGGAUCCCCCAAACCUGUGAAUAUGUUGGGCUACAGAGUGAAGAAUUAAUGUUGCAGAUGGAAUUCAAGUUACUAAUCAAUUGACUUUAAAAGAGGGAGACUCUCCUGGAUCAUCCAGGCAGACCCAGUGUAAUCACAAGGGUCCCCAAAACUGGCAGAAGAAGAGAGGCAGAGCAAAAUGAGAUUAUAGAAACAGGUUCAGAGAGCAGCAGUGCUGGCUUUGAAGAUGGAGGAUGGGGCCACCAGCCUAGGAAUGCGAGCAGCCUCUAGAGGAUGGAAAAGGCAAGGAAGUAGAUUCUCUCCUGAGAACCUCCAAAAAGGAAUGAAGCCCUUGAUUUUAGCUCAGGGAGACCUGUGUCAGAUUUUUAUCCUACAGAACUAUAAGAUAAUAGAUUUAUGUUAUUUAAGCCACUGAUGUUAUGGUAACUUCUUGCAGGAGCAAUAAAAGACUAAUAAACUUACUGAAUCAGAAAAAAAAAAAAAAAAAAAA
rnacentral:lncRNA from 1 species